UCGGGUGGUGCUCCUAGCGGACAAGCCGGUGUAGAGGAAAAGGAUAAGGCUUUCUUGCAGCAAAGGGGAUCCGAUGACCCCAUCCCCUUCUCUGAGUUUCUAUCGCGUCGGCGGCUGCCGGUGGUCUGGGCUAUUCUCUCCACCGCGCCUCCUUCCGGGGCCGUGCCUGCGCUAAGCUUUUUCCUCCGGUGCUCCCCCGGGGUCAGAUCCAGCCGAUAUAUUUUUCAAUCCGUGCCUGCGCUCACCUUUUUCGUCCGGUCCUCCUCCGGGACAAUUCCAGCCUAUUUUCCAAUCCUUCCUUUUUCCUCUCUUUAAUUCAUGUACGCAGCAGAUUUCGCACCAAUCAAUGGUGUGGUACUUGAUUCACCUUCCUGAUAUUCCGUGUAAUUUCCAACGUAUAUAAACCGGUGGCAAUCGUUGGAAGGGAACGAUGUGGGACUA